rnacentral:rRNA from 1 species
CCACAAAGAAAUCCGCGCGGCCUUCAUCUCAAUAGAGAGAAGAUGUUUGAUCCUGGCAGAUGCUACUGCUAUUGGACUUCAAUUAUCCCAUGCAAGCCGAACGAAUUUAGAUUCGUGGCGUACGGCUCAGCAACACGUGGAUAACCUACCCUUAGGACCGGCAUAACCCAGGGAAACUGGAUGCUAAUACUGGAGACAUGAUUUUUCCUGGAAUGGUUUUUUGUUUCACUGUUUUCUCGCCUAAGGAUGGGUCUGCCGCAAAUUCCGUAGUUGGUUAGGUAAUGGCUUACCAAGCCUAUGAUCUGUACGGGUUGUGAGAGCAAGAGUCCGGACAUGGAACCUGAGACAACGUUCCAGGCCCUACAGGGCACAUCAGUGGCGAAACCUGCGCAAUGUGAGAAAUCGCGACGGGGGGAUCCCAAGUGCCAUUACUAACAGAAUGGACUUUUCUUAAGUGAAAACAUGCUUUUGGGAAUAAGAGCAGGGAUAUGAACCUGUAGCCAGCCGACCUCGGGUACCCCCCAGACACUCUCACUGAUAGCUUGUUUUUAUUGGGCCCUAAAGCCGUUCUAAUCAAGUUGGGAUAGUGCCCUGGUAACUCGGGUUACGUCAACUGGGGGAAAUGCUGGUGACCCUGUUGAACUAGAAAUCGCGAAAGUUUAGCGGAACCCCUCGGUUAAAGCUGAAAUCUCUAAUCUGCUUCGACCACCUUUGGUGAAGGUUUAAAAGGAACCACCCUAAGCUACGACAAAAUUUGUGGGCCGACCGAAUAAUACCCGGUAUCUCGCCGAACUCACGUAUUAGUUUGGAAGGCUAUUCCCCCGGACCCAGGAGAUUAUAUCCCUCUUGAUCCUCC